rnacentral:rRNA from 1 species
GACAGAGGUGGCAAGCGUUGUUCGGAUUUACUGGGCGUAAAGAGCGCGUAGGCGGUUGCAUAUGUCAGAUGUGAAAUCCCAGGGCUUAACCCUGGAAUGGCAUUUGAAACUGUGCGACUUGAGGACAGGAGGGGGAAGUGGAAUUCCCGGUGUAGCGGUGAAAUUCGUAGAUAUCGGGAGGAACACCGGUGGCGAAGGCGGUUCUCUGGGCCUGUACUGCGCUGAGGAGCGAAAGCGUGGGGAGCGAACAGG